GAUCUUGUAGUCAUUUUAUGAUAUUAAAUUGCAAGUUUAAUGGUAAACAAAAUUUCUUGAUCU
rnacentral:tRNA from 1 species